rnacentral:rRNA from 1 species
GAUGAACGCUGGUGGCGUGCCUAACACAUGCAAGUCGAGCGAUUCUCUUCGGAGAAGAGCGGCGGACGGGUAACGAACGCGUGGGUAAUCUGCCCUGGACACACGGCUAACAAACCGAAAGGAAUGUAAAUACGACAUAACAAGCUUUUAUCGCAUUGUAGAAGUACAAAACCUCUUGCGGAACAGGAUGGACCCUCGCCUGAUUAGCUAGAUGGUGAGGUAACGGCUCACCAAGGCGACGAACGGCAGACGACCAGAGAGUGUGAUCGGCCACACUGGAACUGGGACACGGUACAAACUCCUACGGAAGGCAGCAGUGGGGAAUGUUGCACAAUGGGCUAAAGCAUGAUGCUCCGACGCCAGGAGAACGCUGAAAGCCUUGGGGUCGUAAAGUUCUGGCCUCAAGGAAGAUAAUGACGGUACCUGAGCAGGAAGCCCCGGCUAACUACGUG